AUGUUGGAAUGACAACAAGAGAUUGUUGAUAUUUGAUCAUUCCAGCAGGAAGAGGCGGGUCCAGGCAGACAGACGUUAGAGAUGUAGAGAUGUUACAGCUGUCAGUCAUCUGUUCUGCAGAGGAAGGAAGAUAAAAGGCAUUAGAACUCAGCACCAACCCCUGGAGCAGCAGCCAUUCCAUUGUCAUAGUAACAGCAACUCAGCUGUAGCUGCUGCUGUCAUGGAAACAGAUAAGCACACCACUGCCUCCUGUUGGUCAGCUGUGGAUUCAGUCUGAGACACUCAUCAGCCACAAUCAGGGCAAACCUUGUCCACCACCUCCUGAGUCCAACUACCCAACUGAGGCAAGAUGGCUUCUUUUAUGCUGGAUCCCGGAAUACUUCUGGUUUCACAGCAUUGCAUGAUGAGAGUACGUCCGGAUCAUGUCGAUGCUCCACAAAACAACUAGGUCUUCUCCCAGCAGUGCCUGCUGGCUGAACCCACGAACCCCAACAGGGCUGUUCUUCCAAACUAUGAGCCCCAUACAACCAUGUGGGAAUUCAAACUGGGACCAUGCCAGAAGAGUGCUGCCACCUAUCAUACUGGGUGACAAACUGCUCCUGGUAUACAGACUCCCCAAGUCCAUCCAUUAGACUUUCUCCCUGACUUGGAUAAAAACCUGGAACCAUCCUAGCCUGGUUGCACCUCCAUCUAUACUGUCCUUCCAUAAUGGCUUCCUGGACAGGUAGGGAACAACUCUCCAUCCCUGUCAGGACACCAUUCCAUCCAUUGUGUCUAUUACAAUGUGUAUACGUGCUCUGUGCUCAGACUCAGAGAUAAACAGUUGUCACACACAUGUGCCUUUGGGACAGCUUAAAGGCUCUGGUGGUGGUAAUUCCUCCCCCAUCCAAGGGUAGCAUUAUAUUCUGACACUUCUACUCUUCCUCCCUCUGCAAACCAGAUGAUUGAUAGCCUCACCAGCUCUGAUGUCACUUCUGGUGUAUCUCCACCUGGACCCACCUCUUCUUGCCUUCUCUGCAUUUAACCUGAAGUCUUGCCAUCUUGGAUUGAGUAAUCUGAGACUUGCAUUAUCUGAGACUUUCCAAAUUGCUGAAAGACUUUAUUAUUUGUAUAUUAUUAACCUUAUUUCAUUAUUAUUUUAAUUGGGGUCGCAGUGUAG